rnacentral:pre_miRNA from 1 species
GAAGUAGCUGGAAAAGAGACCGGUUCACUGUGAGAAACUUAACCCCUCUCAUACAGUGCUCCGGGCCCGGGUCCGGCUGCUCA